CUUAGAUUGCUGAGAUAGAGAGCUAUUCCACUCCUCUAGACGUUCCAACCGAGCUUCAACCAUCCGGCCCGAACUCUCCAGCAAGUCAUGACAACAGACACCACUUUACUCUUUGUAACAGACUCCACGUGGCCCCACCACUCUCCGACAAGUUGCGACAAUGGAUACCACUUCACUCUCUGUAACAGACUCCACAUGGCCCCACCA
rnacentral:lncRNA from 1 species